rnacentral:rRNA from 1 species
UACCAGCACCCCGAGUGGUCGGGACGUUUUAUUGGGCCUAAAGCAUCCGUAGCCGGUUCUACAAGUCUUCCGUUAAAUCCACUUGCUUAACAGAUGGGCUGCGGAAGAUACUAUAGAGCUAGGAGGCGGGAGAGGCAAGCGGUACUCGAUGGGUAGGGGUAAAAUCCGUUGAUCCAUUGAAGACCACCAGUGGCGAAGGCGGCUUGCCAGAACGCGCUCGACGGUGGGAGGA